GCUGCGUGCUCUAUGCCGAUGCGCCUUCCAUACAAGGGUGAUUUUGGAUGUGGUUUCCACUCUCUGUGGGGAGAAACAAAGCAAUUGUUUGUCACCGGCAUCCUGAAACCACUGGCGCCAGUGGGCUCUCCACUUUCUGUUCCCUGCCUGUAUGAUGCCACGCCCUCAUGCCAAACCCGCCCGGAUCCUUGACAGUUUUGUGCAGGCACUCAGCUCACCUCUUUGUUCUUUCCUGCUGCAAUUGGAGGAUAAUAUUUUAAAUAGUA